AAUCUUCCGCAAUGGACGAAAGUCUGACGGAGCGAUGCCGCGUGAGUGAUGAAGGUCUUCGGAUCGUAAAACUCUGUUGUUAGGGAAGAAAAAGUAUCGGAGUAAUAUGCCGGUACCUUGACGGUACCUAACAAGAAAGCACCGGCUACCUAAGUGCCAGCAGCCGCGGUAAUACGUAUGGGGCAACGGUUGCCCCGAAUUAUUUGGCGUAAAGGGCACGCAGGCGGUUAUUUAAAUCUGAUGUGAAAUCUUGUGGCUUAACCCCAAGCGGUCAUUGGAAACUGGAUAACUUGAGUACAGAAGAGGAGAGUGGAAUUCCACGUGUAGCGGUGAAAUGCGUAGAGAUGUGGAGGAACACCAGUGGCGAAGGCGGCUCUCUGGUCUGUAACUGACGCUGAGGUGCGAAAGCGUGGGUAGCGAACA
rnacentral:rRNA from 1 species